rnacentral:rRNA from 1 species
UUUAAAGAGAGUUUGAUCCUGGCUCAGGACGAACGCUGGCGGCGUGCCUAAUACAUGCAAGUCGAACGAACGGAGGAAGAGCUUGCUCUUCCAAAGUUAGUGGCGGACGGGUGAGUAACACGUGGGCAACCUGCCUGUAAGUUGGGGAUAACUCCGGGAAACCGUGGCUAAUACCGAAUGAUAGA